rnacentral:rRNA from 1 species
GACGAACGCUGGCGGCGUGCCUAACACAUGCAAGUCGGGCGAUCUUCUUCGGAAGAGAGCGGCGGACGGGUGAGUAACGCGUGGGUAACCUGCCUCAUACACAUGGAUAACAUACCGAAAGGUAUGCUAAUACAAGAUGAUAUAAGAGAUUCGCAUGGAUUUCUUAUCAAAGCUUUUGCGGUAUGAGAUGGACCCGCGUCUGAUUAGCUAGUUGGUAAGGUAAUGGCUUACCAAGGCGACGAUCAGUAGCCGACCUGAGAGGGUGAUCGGCCACAUUUGAACUGAGACACGGUCCAAACUCCUACGGGAGGCAGCAGUGGGGAAUAUUGCACAAUGGGCGAAAGCCUGAUGCAGCAACGCCGCGUGAGCGAUGAAGGCCUUAGGGUCGUAAAGCUCUGUCCUCAAGGAAGAUAAUGACGGUACUUGAGGAGGAAGCCCCGGCUAACUACGUGCCAGCAGCCGCAGUAAGAC